rnacentral:rRNA from 1 species
GGGACGAACGCUGGCGGCGUGCCUAACACAUGCAAGUCGAACGCGCUCCAUUCGGUAGCAAUACUGAUGAAGAGCGAGUGGCGAACGGGUGAGUAGCACGUGAGCAACCUGCCCCGAAGACUGGGACAACACCGGGAAACCGGUGCUAAUACCGGAUAUCCCUAUUGGAUCGCAUGAUCCGAUAAGGAAAUGUUUUUCGCUUCGGGAGGGGCUCGCGGCCUAUCAGCUAGUUGGUGGGGUAACGGCCCACCAAGGCAUCGACGGGUAGCUGGUCUGAGAGGACGAUCAGCCACACUGGGACUGAGACACGGCCCAGACUCCUACGGGAGGCAGCAGUGGGGAAUCUUGCGCAAUGGGCGAAAGCCUGACGCAGCAACGCCGCGUGGAGGACGAAGGCUUUCUGAGUUGUAAACUCCUUUCAGCAGGGACGAUUGUGACGGUACCUGCAGAGAAGCACCGGCCAACUACGUGCCAGCAGCCGCGGUAAUCUA